rnacentral:rRNA from 1 species
UGCUGACGUGAGUAACGACAAAACGGGUGAAAAACCCGUUCGCCGAAAGACCAAGGGUUCCAGUCCAACGUUAAUCGGGGCUGGGUGAGUCGACCCCUAAGGCGAGGCCGAAAGGCGUAGUCGAUGGGAAAAUGGUUAAUAUUCCAUUACUUCUGUGUAAUGCGAUGAGAGGACGGAGAAGGCUAAAUCAGCCUGGCGUUGGUUGUCCAGGUGAAAGGAUGUAGGCAUGUAUCUUAGGCAAAUCCGGGGUACUCUAUGCUGAGAUCUGAUAGCAAGCUGUACUUGUACAGCGAAGUGGUUGAUGCCAUGCUUCCAGGAAAAGUCUCUAAGCUUCAGUUACACAGGAAUCGUACCCGAAACCGACACAGGUGGUCAGGUCGAGUAGACCAAGGCGCUUGAGAGAACUCUGCUGAAGGAACUAGGCAAAAUGGUACCGUAACUUCGGGAGAAGGUACGCUGUUGUUGGUGAUGGAACUCGCUUCCUGAGCUGACGACAGCCGCAGAAACCAGGCCGCUGCAACUGUUUAUUAAAAACAUAGCACUCUGCAAACACGAAAGUGGACGUAUAGGGUGUGAUGCCUGCCCGGUGCUGGAAGGUUAAUUGAUGGGGUUAGCGUAAGCGAAGCUCUUGAUCGAAGCCCCAGUAAACGGCGGCCGUAACUAUAACGGUCCUAAGGUAGCGAAAUUCCUUGUCGGGUAAGUUCCGACCUGCACGAAUGGCAUAAUGAUGGCGGCGCUGUCUCCAGCAGAGGCUCAGUGAAAUCGAAAUCGCUGUGAAGAUGCAGUGUACCCGCGGCUAGACGGAAAGACCCCGUGAACCUUUACUGCAGCUUGACACUGAACUUUGACCUUACUUGUGUAGGAUAGGUGGGAGGCUUUGAAGCUGGAACGCUAGUUCCAGUGGAGCCGUCCUUGAAAUACCACCCUGGUAAUGUUGAGGUUCUAACUCUGUCCCGUGAUCCGGGACGAGGACCGUGUCUGGUGGGUAGUUUGACUGGGGCGGUCUCCUCCUAAAGAGUAACGGAGGAGUACGAAGGUGCGCUCAGCGUGGUCGGAAAUCACGCGUAGAGUAUAAAGGCAAAAGCGCGCUUAACUGCGAGACCCACAAGUCGAGCAGGUACGAAAGUAGGUCUUAGUGAUCCGGUGGUUCUGUAUGGAAGGGCCAUCGCUCAACGGAUAAAAGGUACUCUGGGGAUAACAGGCUGAUACCGCCCAAGAGUUCAUAUCGACGGCGGUGUUUGGCACCUCGAUGUCGGCUCAUCUCAUCCUGGGGCUGAAGCAGGUCCCAAGGGUAUGGCUGUUCGCCAUUUAAAGAGGUACGCGAGCUGGGUUUAGAACGUCGUGAGACAGUUCGGUCCCUAUCUACCGUGGGCGCUGGAAAUUUGAGAGGAUCUGCUCCUAGUACGAGAGGACCAGAGUGGACGAACCUCUGGUGUACCGGUUGUGACGCCAGUCGCAUCGCCGGGUAGCUAUGUUCGGAAGGGAUAACCGCUGAAAGCAUCUAAGCGGGAAGCCUACCUCAAGAUAAGAUUUCCCUAGGACUUUAUGUCCUCUAAAGAGCCGUUCGAGACUAGGACGUUGAUAGGUUGGAUGUGGAAGCAUAGUGAUAUGUGAAGCUGACCAAUACUAAUUGCUCGUGAGGCUUGACUA